UAUAAUGCAAGUCGAGCGGACAGAAGGGAGCUUGCUCCCGGAUGUUAGCGGCGGACGGGUGAGUAACACGUGGGUAACCUGCCUGUAAGACUGGGAUAACUCCGGGAAACCGGAGCUAAUACCGGAUAGUUCCUUGAACCGCAUGGUUCAAGGAUGAAAGACGGUUUCGGCUGUCACUUACAGAUGGACCCGCGGCGCAUUAGCUAGUUGGUGAGGUAACGGCUCACCAAGGCGACGAUGCGUAGCCGACCUGAGAGGGUGAUCGGCCACACUGGGACUGAGACACGGCCCAGACUCCUACGGGAGGCAGCAGUAGGGAAUCUUCCGCAAUGGACGAAAGUCUGACGGAGCAACGCCGCGUGAGUGAUGAAGGUUUUCGGAUCGUAAAGCUCUGUUGUUAGGGAAGAACAAGUGCAAGAGUAACUGCUUGCACCUUGACGGUACCUAACCAGAAAGCCACGGCUAACUACGUGCCAGCAGCCGCGGUAAUACGUAGGUGGCAAGCGUUGUCCGGAAUUAUUGGGCGUAAAGGGCUCGCAGGCGGUUUCUUAAGUCUGAUGUGAAAGCCCCCGGCUCAACCGGGGAGGGUCAUUGGAAACUGGGAAACUUGAGUGCAGAAGAGGAGAGUGGAAUUCCACGUGUAGCGGUGAAAUGCGUAGAGAUGUGGAGGAACACCAGUGGCGAAGGCGACUCUCUGGUCUGUAACUGACGCUGAGGAGCGAAAGCGUGGGGAGCGAACAGGAUUAGAUACCCUGGGUAGUCCACGCCGUAAA
rnacentral:rRNA from 1 species